rnacentral:lncRNA from 1 species
CAGCAACGUGAUGAGAAUUAUAAAUCUUCUCUGUGUUAGACCAGGUAGGAUUUAUAAAGUUUGUGAAGUUCUGCUUUAGUUUUUUCCAUUCUAGGCCCUGCAGUGACCUUACUGUUGGCUGAUUCCAGGGAGCCACCUCAUUAUUCUGACUUGAAACUUCUCCAUCUCCAAAAUCAGAGUUACUCCUGUGUGUCUUCACUGGAAGAAUGCACAUCACAGUCCUGCUCUGACAACGUAGGCCCAGGGAAAUGAAGAAGAGCAACUUUUCCAUUAUUGUAAACUGCAAAAAGUGUUCCCCAGUGAAAACUACAAUUUCACUUUGGUUUGAUGAGCAUGCUGUGAUUCCACUGUGCUCUCAUGAACUGUCAGCUAUGAAUCCGUAUGGGAAUAAUUUCAUUGUGAGAAGCCGGCUUCCAUUCUAUCCUGAAAAAAAGCUGCAUGAAAAUCACAGAAAGCUACAGAAGAAAGUACCAGUCAUUGUUUGAAAGCAUUGUGGCCUUUGGAGAUGGAAAACAGAACAUGAAUUUGCCUCCAAUUUUUAUAAGCUUCUAGAAAUAUUAAUGAAUGAGAAACAAAUGCAAAAAUUUACUUAAAAAAAAACAAACCUCAAGACCUCAUUGCUUUUACAAUGAACAGACCUGGCAAAAAGGUCCUUAAUUAUCAUGAGUAUCAGUGUUUAAACAGGUAGUGCUCUUCCAAGCAUUUUUUGGUUGUCAGCUAGAUCAGUGUUUCUCCUCACUUGCUAACAAUGAAGUUAUCAACCACUGGAACAAAUGAUGAAGAGGAGCAGUGACCUUACAAUUUCUUGAAGUCUGCAAACUGAGAGGGGUUGGUAUGCCUCAGCACACAAUGGACACACAGCUGGGUGAAAUUAUAUUGUGCUACAGAGAAGUACAUGAAAUAUCCUAUGUGGUCCUUUCUAGCUUUAGAGACAUAGUCUAUAAUUUCAGAAAGACCUUACAAAGAACUCUUAGAAGUAGUGAUAACCAGAGCACCAAUCUGAAUGCAUCUUCUGAUUUUGGGUUGAUUAUGCCAAAGUAUUAAAGAAAUUACAGAUUGUAAUGUUUCUGUGUGUUUCUGUCACAAAACCUCAUAUUACUAGCAUUAUUUUGCAAUAUUGGAAAUUUGGUUUUGGGGACUAAAGAGACCCUUCCUCUUCCCAGAAGAGCAGAAUGUACUUUAGUUCAUGAAAGUGUGUAUAAACAAGUAAGCAUGCAGGCUGCUGUUUCCUGACCUGAUCUAUUUCAGUCAAUAAAAUCAAUAAACUAGACUCA